UACGUAGGGGGCAAGCGUUAUCCGGAUUUACUGGGUGUAAAGGGAGCGUGGACGGCAGAGCAAGUCCGGAGUGAAAGCCCGGGGCCCAACCCCGGGACUGCUCUGGAAACUGUUAAGCUGGAGUGCGGGAGGGGCAGGCGGAAUUCCUGGUGUAGCGGUGAAAUGCGUAGAUAUCAGGAGGAACACCGGCGGCGAAGGCGGCCUGCUGGACCGUGACUGACGUUGAGGCUCGAAAGCGUGGGGAGCAAACAGG
rnacentral:rRNA from 1 species